GGCAAAAGGAGCAUCAACCUUGUGAAGAGGAAGAGAAGUUACAUGAGGUUUAUACAGAAAUUUCUAAAAAUCCAGCAUUCAGCCCCAGAAGAAAGAAAUCCACUUUUUAAUUAGAGCUGCAGCAGUUUCUAUAUCUAAGUCUGGCAGUGGAGGCUCAGCCCCGCCGCGUUGCCUGCGACAGCAGCAGCAAUAUGGGCUCAGUGGAGGUGCUGACGUCUCAGAGCAGUGAAGAGAUCUCACCAGAGCAACGUCUGCCUUCGAGUAUCGGCUCUUCCAUGAGGGAAAAGAAUGCUUUGGGAAGCCCUGUUUCACCCUCCUUAGCCAGAGGUUAACAUGCUCAUUCUGCCCCGGUGGAAGUGGAGCUGGAAGAUUUUUGAGGUGCACCCCUGGACCAGAUGUGGCACCCCUUGCCCCACGUCCUGAUGACCUUUUCCUCAGCCUGUGGUUUGUGCCCGUGACUGCCACAUCCUCGGCGAGCAGGGAUUACCUUUUGCAAUCAGAUGUUAUAAAUGGAGCAUACUUAAACAGGCUUUCUCGUGGCUGUCACCCUUAUGAUAGAGGAAAAUAUUCUCCUGUCGUGUAUUUAUUAACAUUCUGCAUACAACAUCCAGAGCAGAGUAUCCCUCUGUCACCAGAUGCUGCGGGAAACUUGCCGCCUGGGCGGGCAGGAGGACUCAGCCUGGAGCGGGAGGUGAGGACCCUGUUAGCAGGGUGCCUGCAAGGGGAGGGAGGCAGUCAGCAGCCAGCCUGUCUUCAUCCCUGAUGUACUCUGCCCCAGGAGAAUACCAGCAGGCAGGACUGACCAAGGAUGGGGGAACACGCACUCCAUUCACUUGUCAUUUUCCUAGAGACUUUGGGGGUGUAAGAAGCCCAUGGUGGUACAAACAUG